rnacentral:rRNA from 1 species
UACGGAGGAUGCAAGCGUUAUCCGGAAUUAUUGGGCGUAAAGGGCGCGUAGGCGGUGCGGUAAGUCACCUGUGAAACCUCUAGGCUCAACCUAGAGCCUGCAGGCGAAACUGCCGUGCUUGAGGGUGGGAGAGGUGCGUGGAAUUCCCGGUGUAGCGGUGAAAUGCGUAGAUAUCAGGAGGAACACCGGUGGUGUAGACGGCUUUCUGGACCGUAACUGACGCUGAGACACGAAAGCGUGGGUAGCAAACAGG